GUUCUUUUUGGGUCAAGAACUAUCAUGAUAUGCUCCUCUUAUACCAAAAAAGAACAAAAAAUUGCUACAACCCUUUCUUAAAAAUUUUCCUGAAGAAAAAAGAGUUAACGCUGCAAUAGCUUUCUGCAGGCUUUUUUGAAUGUUUUUUGAUCUGUUACAUAAUCCAUGAAGAAAGCCUUCCCCAUAUUUGGAAUUAAUUUGUU
rnacentral:misc_RNA from 1 species